rnacentral:lncRNA from 1 species
GCAUGGCUCCGUCUUCACCGCAUAAAUACAAAUGUCAAGCACCACAAUGUUAAGCCAAGCAAUUGAAUCAUACUUUUUAAUGCACUUCAACUUUUUAUUACCCACUCAAUACAUGGGCGUGAAACCUGGACAUAGCAUAUAGAUGGAAUACAAGAUGGUGGUAGGUUUCGAAGGGGCAAAGUGGAGAAGAAAGUCUUGCAACAACUAGGUAUAUCAACGGUCAAUGGAGAUUUCCAUCAAUAGAUAUCAAUGCGAGGUGUAGGGAUUGCCAUGCAACGUAUGCACUAGAGCUAUAAGUGUAUGAAAGCUCGACUGAAGCUAAGUGGGUGUGCAUCCAACUUGCUUGCUCAUGAAGAUGUUGGGCAUUUGAGGAAGCCCGUCAUUGGAAUAUACAAGCCAAGUUCUAUAAUCAAAAGUUCCAACUAGUAUAUGCAAGUGACGAAACAUGAGAGUCUCUAUAUGAAAACAUGGUGCUAUUUUUGAAGCACAAGUUUGGAAAAAGAGGUAGUAGCAAUAUCCCAUCUCUCUUUUCUCUCAUUUAUUUUUAUAUUAUUUGUUUUUUCUUUAUUUUUUCUCUCUUUUCUUUUUCUUUGUUUUUCUUUCUUUUCUUUUAUUUUUCGUGCGGAGUCUCAUCCCGACUAGUGGGGGUAUCAUUGUCUCCAUCAUCCUUUCUUCACAUAGACAAUGCCCUAAAUAAUGAAUAGAACCAUACUUCUAUUUACUUACAACUCAAUAUGAAAAACUACUAAACAAUAUGACUAUAUGAAUGCCUCUAGCAGUGUACCACAUGUGCAAUGAUCUAGUGUAACAUGUUUGAUAAUGAUGAACGCUGGCUUUGCCACAAAUACUAUGUCAACUACAUGAUCACGCGAAACAAUAUGACAGUGAGUGUACUAGUCAUAUGAC